UACGUAGGGGGCAAGCGUUGUCCGGAAUUAUUGGGCGUAAAGCGCGUGUAGGCGGCUCGGUAAGUCUGCUGUGAAAGUCCAGGGCUCAACCCUGGAAUGCCGGUGGAUACUGUCGAGCUAGAGUCCGGAAGAGGCGAGUGGAAUUCCUGGUGUAGCGGUGAAAUGCGCAGAUAUCAGGAGGAACACCAAUGGCGAAGGCAGCUCGCUGGGACGGUACUGACGCUGAGACGCGAAAGCGUGGGGAGCAAACGGG
rnacentral:rRNA from 1 species